CUGGCCGUCAUUGGCCCUGCUGAGGUGACGCAGGCUGACAAGGAGGAGGAGCUGAUUGGUGUCAUCGCAGGGCUGGUGGCCUUCAUGGUCCUCUUCAUCCUCAUCAUGAUUCUGGCCUUGGUUCUCACCACCAGGAGCUUCAAGAGGAAGUUGAACGCGAUGAAGGCUCUCAAGGUGGCAACGACGCUCACGCCUGCCAUGGUGCAGCAAGGACCAGGCAUCCCCGGGACCAACCAGUACAAUGCUGAGGGGGCAAACCCUGUGCUCAACCUCUCCUUCAAUCCCUCC